rnacentral:sRNA from 1 species
UCUUUUAGUUUAUAGUGCAUCAUCCAGAGAAGUCAGGGCAGGACCUCAAGCAGGGCAAGGACCUGGAGGCCACGGAGGGGUGCUGCUCACUUCCUUUUCCUUCACUGCUUGCUCAGCCUGCUUUCUUAGAGUACUCAGGCCCACUCGUCCAGGUUGGCAGCAUGUCCUCUUCUCCCUCUCCUCUCCCCCUGUAAGUCUGGCCUGCCAACAUCAGUCAAGAAACUGUCAAGCUGACAUAGAGCUAGCCAGUACAAAUGGUGAGACUUAGAUUGGUUUCAGAAAUACACAAGAGGGUCUGACGUGGGUGUUCACUCUAAAACCCCCGAAAACAUCAUAUCCUGGACUCUGAGUCUUAUGACAAGAUCAGGAUAGCCGAGGCAGCUGAGAAAAACACAGAGAUGCUUAGCAUGGAAAAAGACCCAUCACAACAAAGGCUGACUUUCCUUAUCAGUGUGAACCCACGAACCCAGUGAGCACCCCCAAAUCUGCAUCGAGGAUGAUGCUGUGAGUCACGGCAUGACUCAUGGCUCCCUGACCACCACAGAACAGAAACAAGAAUAAUUUACUGCCUAGGCCAAAAGGACCUGAAAGAGCUUUCCCACCCACCACACGAGUGGCGCAUCAGAUUAGGAGUAAGGCGCCAUUCUUUCUUCUUCCUCAAGUGGAUUAGUUCUCCCUUUUGCAUCUUCCCCAGAGACCCAAGGCCAGAUAAGCCUCUGGCUUUACUAAUAAUCUUCCAGUGAACCGGCCUGUCCCUGUACCUGCCUACUCAGGCCCCUCCUGCAUGGCAAUCUAAACCAGAAGAAUGCCUCAGCACACAAAAAUGUACUUCAUCACUCCUCAGAGCAAGAUGGCUUCUUGGAUCAAUGUUUUAUGCCUUCCCUCCCUUGACCAUGACACUAAACAGACUCAUAAUAAACUGUCUCUAAGUGAACAAGCAAGAAAUUAUUCUCAGGCCAAGACACUUUGUUCUUCAAAGCUCUUUCGCUCUUGUGCUUAUAAGAAUCAAAGUCCCAGAGACCACAUUUAGGAGCACACGGAAGAGUCUGUCUUAACAGAGGGUUGGUGUGCAGGACCCAGGGCUUCUACUUCCCUCUGGAGGCUGGGGUACUGUUUGGGGUCACACGGCAAGGCCUUCUCAGGAGCUAGGAAAGGCUUGCUCUUAAGUUCUUUUUCUCCUCCUGAGCUGUACCUGACACCUGACCGGCUGUCUUUCAAAGUUUAACCCUGCCGCAAUGUGAGGAUUAAACCCUCCUGAAGCAGGAGGUUGUCUGGCAUCUGGAUUUUUUCUCUUUCUGUAGACAACACUGUGAAGAAUGGCCUCAUACAUCCAUCAAAUGUACCCUCCUUUAGUAACAACAGGAGGCAACUGAGAGGAACAGUCUUACCUUGUUAAUCUGUGUUUCCCACACUGAUAGCACUAAAAGCAGUAAGAAGGUAUCCCUCUGCUUAGGGCUUGAGUGUCCCUCAACAACCUUUUCACGGCGAUGAGGCCAGUGGGAACCAUGGGACACCUUGAUUCAACCUUAUGCAGAGGCUGCCCCAGUGUGAAUGCAGAAUCCUAGGUCAUUUGCAUGAUGUCAUGGGUGAAGAAUAGUUAGGUGGUCAGUAUUUUUCUGUGGAGAAAAGUACACCCUAAUGACAGACAGGAGAGUUGCUGCUUUGGGGAAUGGAGCCCUGAAACAGGGCACCCGUGUUUCUUCCUUCAUUGAGAUUUCUUUGCUGUCUUCAUAACUCUGCAAGGAAAUGUUGAUUGAAUUCUGACUUUAAUCUUGUAGAUACAGAGAUGCUGUCUGAAAUGGCCUGAGGGGAGACACAGAGCCUAGGCAAGUCUAUGUUUGUCGAUAGAAGGCUGAGCCCCAAAAGCAAAAGUUGAAACAAAAAACCUAAACCAAACCUUGAAAGGUAGAGCUUAAGCAGAUAGAAGUCACAAGCUUGAUGCUUUGUAAGGUUGGAGCUGAGGUUUCUGAGCUCUACCAGGUCUUGAGGGAUGGGAUAUUUUCCUGCAGGGAGAUAAAAUAGUGUCUGAAGCAUGGUCAGCUCAGUGGGAACAUUUUAAAAACACAAAUUGAUAAUUUAUUGUUUUUUUAAAUUGACAACUCAUUUCAAAAUUAAAUAUUUUAUUCAAAAUUUGAAGUGACAUUCUUUUUUAAAGCUUAAUUAAUCUAAACUGUUAUCUGACUUUUCAACGUAAGAGUUUGUCACUUAUGAAGUGGUAUUUUUCAGGAGUUUGUUUCAGAGUAAUUUGGUAGGAAGAAAUGGACCAUAAGCAAUUCCUGGCUGAGAACUGUCCAAGCUGGAUGAUGCUAGGGACUUCCCUUAAGAGGCGGAGUGCAGGAGAAGACAAAGCUGCUCCCAGGAAGUGCACUGGGGAACAGCAGAUGUCUGUUCAUCGCAUGCAUAUGAGAAGAUAUGAGAACCUUCCAGAACAAGGAUGUGGUGGUUGCAGGCUACCGUGUGGGUGCUGGGAAUUCAAUCCCAGGUCUUCUGGAAGAGUAACCAGCGCUUUCAGAACCUGAGUCAUCUCCCUGGCCCUGACACUUCUUUAUAGACAUUAGAAUUUUCAUAACUGACACCGUCAGGCGGAACACGGACUCCAGGCAGCUGUGGGAGACAAGAGCGCACCAGUGGAGAAGCAAACACGUGAAAACACGGGCUCACUGUGGCCGAUGUGUCUAGAGCAUUGCCGUGCACUUGUUCCCCGAGGUCAAAGGUGACUCUGAGUAUUAACGAGAAGAUGCCUGAACUGACUCGGCUGCAGUCCUGCAGAGAACAACUCCACACGCGUGCCUGCUCUCUGCUGUCUCACUGCUUUCCCCUCCCCCUUUCUAGGUGUUAAAUUGCCAGAAGCCAUCAGCCUUUGGCUGCAACAUAGCAGAGUUCAAGAAGGUAAAAGUUGCCAAAGGUGAAGGGGCUCUGGUCAAGCAAUCACCAAUGGAAAUGGAAAGGUGAAGCACACUCCUUCACUGCCCUCCUUGGUGAGCUGGGUGCUGGGACAAACUCCUGGGAAAGAAGAGAGCAUCAGACACAAUGCACCAAGCAGCACAGACGCAGAGAUCUGCUCUUUUCUUCAUAAGAUGACGUUGAUGCCUUUUGCCAAGACCUGCUUCUAUGGCACACCAGAAAGUAUUACCAGGAGCUGUAUUGUUUUAUAUGUCUCUUUUUGUUCAUCCUCUUAAAGAUUAAAACAUUUUAAGGAUAUGAAUAGCUUGAAAUGAACUAAACCAGUCAUUGUUAUUACAGAAGAACUGCCCAGAAUCCAAACAUGACUCCAUUAAAUACAUUGCUGUGUCUCCCACCAUAACUUGUCUUCUAUCUCUCACCUUAGCUUGGAACCCCACCUGCAAGCUCACCAGAUGAAGUCUUCCCAGUUUCCUUCUACUCUGAUGCCUUGGGUUUGGAUCCCAGCACAGGGCACAUGUGAGGAGGACCCUUUGACUAGUAAGGGAACUCUUGUAUCCAGAACAUGACUUUUUAAUUGCAGAUCACUGAAAAGGGGAGAGUGAUAAACAAAUAAACAAACAACAACAACAACAACAUGCUUCCUCUGGCACACCACAGGCUAAGACUGACUCCAGCAAAGUUUAGGCACCUAUUCCAGUAGCUAGUAGGCUCCAACUAUUGAGGGUGUUUCAAACUGCAUGAAAGCCAAGGACUGAGCCCUCUGGUGAGCGCAGAGUUCCCAGUCCCCUGUCCCAAGUUAAGCCUCCACCGGAUUGCGCCUUGCAGACAGGAGAUCAUGAGAAUCUUCCAGGCACAUCCAUAGCAGAGAAACAGACAGCGAGUGAGCUGAGUGUCUUCUGGGUGGAUCACCUGGAAAGGCCCAGUUUUGUGAAGAAUGUGAUAAAGUUAGUAAAAGUGACUUUGGAAAAAGAAUUCACCCAAACACAAGUAAACAAACAACCUGGAAAGCUUGAAUUUCAGAAGGAAGCCAAAGCUUUGCCAACAGUUCUUUGUCCUGCUGCACUGAGUUGCAGGAAAGCUCCAGCGGACUUGGCCCUGGGCUCACAACUGAGCUGGAAAAGACAUGGAGCAUUAUUUAAUUUUUUCUUUUUAUUAGUUAUUUUAUUUAUUGGCAUUUCAAAUGUUAUCCCCCUUCCCAG